rnacentral:rRNA from 1 species
AACAAACGCUGGCGGCGUGCCUAAUACAUGCAAGUCGAACGGGGAAAGCUUUCGGGUGAGUACUAGUGGCGCACGGGUGAGUAACGCGUGGAUAAUCUGCCUUAGAGUGGGGGAUAACUAGUCGAAAGAUUAGCUAAUACCGCAUAAGACCACAAGAACUGCGGUUCAAGGGGUCAAAGGUUUUUCGCUCUAAGAUGAGUCCGCGUAAGAUUAGCUAGUUGGUAGGGUAACGGCCUACCAAGGCGACGAUCGUUAACUGGUCUGAGAGGAUGAUCGGUCACACUUGAACUGAGACACGGUCCAGACUCCUACGGGAGGCAGCAGUAGGGAAUAUUGCACAAUGGAGGAAACUCUGAUGCAGCGACGCCGCGUGAGUGAUGAAGGCCUUCGGGUCGUAAAGCUCUGUCGCAGGGGAAUAACACAAUGAAGGUACCCUGUAAGAAAGGAUCGGCUAACUUCGUGCCAGCCGCCGCAGUAAAAC